rnacentral:rRNA from 1 species
UCCUACGGGGAGGCAGCAGUCGAGAAGCUUCGGCAAUGGGCGAAAGCCUGACCGAGCGACGCCGCGUGAGCGAUGAAGGUCCUAUGGAUUGUAAAGCUCUGUCAGAUUGGGAAGAAAACUUCGCGGCGAAUAACCGCGAAGCUUGACGGUACCAUCAGAGGAAGCACCGGCUAACUCCGUGCCAGCAGCCGCGGUAAUACGGAGGGUGCAAGCGUUGUUCGGAUUCACUGGGUAUAAAGGGUGCGCAGGCGGCCUGGUAAGUCAGGGGUGAAAUAUGACGGCUCAACCGUCAAACGGCCUCUGAAACUGCCUGGCUUGAGUCCGGGAGAGGAAGGUGGAAUUCCUGGUGUAGCGGUGAAAUGCGUAAAUAUCAGGAGGAACACCGGUGGCGAAGGCGGCCUUCUGGCCCGGUACUGACGCUCAUGCACGAAAGAUAGGGGAGCGAACAGGAUUAGAUACCCUGGUAGUCCUAGCCGUAUACGAUGGGCACUAGGUGUUGGAGGAGUCUACCCCUUCAGUGCCGCAGCUAAUGCAUUAA